UACGUGAGCCCCGAGCGUUAUCCGGAAUUAUUGGGCGUAAAGAGUGCGUAGGCGGUUUGUCGCGUCUGCUGUGAAAACCGGAGGCUCAACCUCCGGCCUGCAGUGGGUACGGGCAGACUAGAGUGCGGUAGGGGAGAUUGGAAUUCCUGGUGUAGCGGUGGAAUGCGCAGAUAUCAGGAGGAACACCGAUGGCGAAGGCAGAUCUCUGGGCCGUAACUGACGCUGAGGAGCGAAAGCAUGGGGAGCGAACAGG
rnacentral:rRNA from 1 species